AAUCAACGCUGGCGGCGUGCCUCAGACAUGCAAGUCGAACGCGAAAGUUUCCUUCGGGGAACAAGUAGAGUGGCGCACGGGUGAGUAACACGUAGGUAAUCUACCUUUGGAUGGGGAAUAACAAUCGGAAACGGUUGCUAAUACCGCAUAAUGCAGCGGCACCUAAUGGUGACAGUUGUUAAAGCGGGGGAUCGAAAGACCUCGCGUCUGAAGAGGAGCCUGCGGCGGAUUAGCCAGUUGGUAAGGUAAUGGCUUACCAAGGCUACGAUCCGUAACCGGCCUGAGAGGGCGGUCGGUCACACUGACACUGACAUACGGGUCAGACUCCUACGGGAGGCAGCAGUCGGGAAUUUUGGGCAGUGGGCGAAAGCCUGACCCAGCAACGCCGCGUGAAGGAUGAAAUCCCUCGGGAUGUAAACUUCGCAAGAACGGGAAGAAUAAGCGAGAGUUAAUAUCUCUCGUGAUGACGGUA
rnacentral:rRNA from 1 species